ACCACUUUCAAUUGGAAUUUAGAUGCACGUGCCAUCUUCCACUGCGUAGCACACAAAUCCCUACAGUGUUGGCAGCAGCAUCUGCAGAGGCUCUGAGUGUAGAGGUGGUGGAUGACAAGACUCUCUAACUAGUCGUCGUUUGUUCAGGUUCUGUGAUGGGCAUGCAUUAGAAGCUCUCAUCAAAAGUGUUUGCUGUUGUAUGAUGGGUGAUGAUUGACUUGAAAAUUUUGUUUUUAGAAUCUGGGUUUUGGAAAAGAGAAAAAAAACUCAUUGGAAUUAAUGAGAGAAGAACUAAAAGGCAAUAGAAGAUAUAU
rnacentral:lncRNA from 1 species